rnacentral:rRNA from 1 species
CUUUAUAGCUUGCUACGGAAACAAUUAGUGGCAGACGGGUGAGUAAUGCAUAGGAAUCUGCCUAGUAGUAUGGGAUAGCCACUAGAAAUGGUGGGUAAUACUGUAUACGCCCUGCGGGGGAAAGAUUUAUCGCUACUAGAUGAGCCUAUGUUAGAUUAGCUAGUUGGUAGGGUAAAGGCCUACCAAGGCAGUGAUCUAUAGCUGGUCUGAGAGGAUGAUCAGCCACACUGGAACUGAGAUACGGUCCAGACUCCUACGGGAGGCAGCAGUGGGGAAUAUUGGACAAUGGGCGCAAGCCUGAUCCAGCUAUGCCGCGUGAGUGAGGAAGGCCUUAGGGUUGUAAAACUCUUUCAGUGGGGAAGAUAAUGACGGUACCCACAGAAGAAGUCCCGGCAAACUCCGUGCCAGCAGCCGCGGUAAUACGGAGGGGGCAAGCGUUGUUCGGAAUUAUUGGGCGUAAAGGGCAUGUAGGCGGUUCGGUAAGUUAAAGGUGAAAUGCCAGGGCUUAACCCUGGAGCUGCUUU